rnacentral:rRNA from 1 species
GAUAAACGCUGGCGGCGUGCCUAACACAUGCAAGUCGAACGCCCUUACGCAAGUAAGGGAGUGGCGGACGGGUGAGGAACACGUGGGUGAUCUGCCUUGAGGUGAGGAAUACCGGCGAGAAAUCGCCGACAAUACCGCAUACGUUCGCAAGAACAAAGUCGCAAGACGCCUUGAGAUGAGCCUGCGUCCGAUUAGCUAGUUGGUGGGGUAAAAGCCUACCAAGGCAGCGAUCGGUAGCUGGUCUGAGAGGACGAUCAGCCACACUGGGAUUGAGAACGGCCCAGACUCCUACGGGGGCAGCAGUGAGGAAUUUUCGUCAAUGGCCGAAAGGCUGAACGAGCAACGCCGCGUGCAGGAAGAAGGUCUUCGGAUCGUAAAC